rnacentral:rRNA from 1 species
UACGUAGGUGGCAAGCGUUGUUCGGAAUUACUGGGCGUAAGCGCGCGUAGGCGGCUCUUCCAGUCAGGCGUGAAAGCCCCGAGCUUAACUCGGGAACUGCGCUUGAUACUGUCGAGCUAGAGUGUGGAAGGGGCGAUUGGAAUUCCGUGUGUAGCGGUGAAAUGCGUGGAUAUACGGAGGAACACCAGAGGCGAAGGCGGAUCGCUGGGCCAACACUGACGCUGAUGUGCGAAAGCUAGGGGAGCAAACGGG